rnacentral:rRNA from 1 species
CCUACGGGAGGCAGCAGUGGGGAAUAUUGCGCAAUGGGCGCAAGCCUGAUCCAGCCAUGCCGCGUGUGUGAAGAAGGCCUUCGGGUUGUAAACCUCUUUCAGCAGGGAGGAAAGGGUCUGGACUAAUACUCGAAAGCUGUGACGUUACCUCCAGAACAAGCACCGGCUAACUCCGUGCCAGCAGCCGCGGUAAU